GGGUUGUGAGGUUAAGCGACUAAGCGUACACGGUGGAUGCCCUGGCAGUCAGAGGCGAUGAAGGACGUGCUAAUCUGCGAUAAGCGUCGGUAAGGUGAUAUGAACCGUUAUAACCGGCGAUUUCCGAAUGGGGAAACCCAGUGUGUUUCGACACACUAUCAUUAACUGAAUCCAUAGGUUAAUGAGGCGAACCGGGGGAACUGAAACAUCUAAGUACCCCGAGGAAAAGAAAUCAACCGAGAUUCCCCCAGUAGCGGCGAGCGAACGGGGAGCAGCCCAGAGCCUGAAUCAGUGUGUGUGUUAGUGGAAGCGUCUGGAAAGGCGCGCGAUACAGGGUGACAGCCCCGUACACAAAAAUGCACAUGCUGUGAGCUCGAUGAGUAGGGCGGGACACGUGGUAUCCUGUCUGAAUAUGGGGGGACCAUCCUCCAAGGCUAAAUACUCCUGACUGACCGAUAGUGAACCAGUACCGUGAGGGAAAGGCGAAAAGAACCCCGGCGAGGGGAGUGAAAAAGAACCUGAAACCGUGUACGUACAAGCAGUGGGAGCACGCUUAGGCGUGUGACUGCGUACCUUUUGUAUAAUGGGUCAGCGACUUAUAUUCUGUAGCAAGGUUAACCGAAUAGGGGAGCCGAAGGGAAACCGAGUCUUAACUGGGCGUUAAGUUGCAGGGUAUAGACCCGAAACCCGGUGAUCUAGCCAUGGGCAGGUUGAAGGUUGGGUAACACUAACUGGAGGACCGAACCGACUAAUGUUGAAAAAUUAGCGGAUGACUUGUGGCUGGGGGUGAAAGGCCAAUCAAACCGGGAGAUAGCUGGUUCUCCCCGAAAGCUAUUUAGGUAGCGCCUCGUGAAUUCAUCUCCGGGGGUAGAGCACUGUUUCGGCAAGGGGGUCAUCCCGACUUACCAACCCGAUGCAAACUGCGAAUACCGGAGAAUGUUAUCACGGGAGACACACGGCGGGUGCUAACGUCCGUCGUGAAGAGGGAAACAACCCAGACCGCCAGCUAAGGUCCCAAAGUCAUGGUUAAGUGGGAAACGAUGUGGGAAGGCCCAGACAGCCAGGAUGUUGGCUUAGAAGCAGCCAUCAUUUAAAGAAAGCGUAAUAGCUCACUGGUCGAGUCGGCCUGCGCGGAAGAUGUAACGGGGCUAAACCAUGCACCGAAGCUGCGGCAGCGACGCUGAUGCGUUGUUGGGUAGGGGAGCGUUCUGUAAGCCUGCGAAGGUGUGCUGUGAGGCAUGCUGGAGGUAUCAGAAGUGCGAAUGCUGACAUAAGUAACGAUAAAGCGGGUGAAAAGCCCGCUCGCCGGAAGACCAAGGGUUCCUGUCCAACGUUAAUCGGGGCAGGGUGAGUCGACCCCUAAGGCGAGGCCGAAAGGCGUAGUCGAUGGGAAACAGGUUAAUAUUCCUGUACUUGGUGUUACUGCGAAGGGGGGACGGAGAAGGCUAUGUUGGCCGGGCGACGGUUGUCCCGGUUUAAGCGUGUAGGCUGGUUUUCCAGGCAAAUCCGGAAAAUCAAGGCUGAGGCGUGAUGACGAGGCACUACGGUGCUGAAGCAACAAAUGCCCUGCUUCCAGGAAAAGCCUCUAAGCAUCAGGUAACAUCAAAUCGUACCCCAAACCGACACAGGUGGUCAGGUAGAGAAUACCAAGGCGCUUGAGAGAACUCGGGUGAAGGAACUAGGCAAAAUGGUGCCGUAACUUCGGGAGAAGGCACGCUGAUAUGUAGGUGAAGUCCCUUGCGGAUGGAGCUGAAAUCAGUCGAAGAUACCAGCUGGCUGCAACUGUUUAUUAAAAACACAGCACUGUGCAAACACGAAAGUGGACGUAUACGGUGUGACGCCUGCCCGGUGCCGGAAGGUUAAUUGAUGGGGUCAGCGCAAGCGAAGCUCUUGAUCGAAGCCCCGGUAAACGGCGGCCGUAACUAUAACGGUCCUAAGGUAGCGAAAUUCCUUGUCGGGUAAGUUCCGACCUGCACGAAUGGCGUAAUGAUGGCCAGGCUGUCUCCACCCGAGACUCAGUGAAAUUGAACUCGCUGUGAAGAUGCAGUGUACCCGCGGCAAGACGGAAAGACCCCGUGAACCUUUACUAUAGCUUGACACUGAACAUUGAGCCUUGAUGUGUAGGAUAGGUGGGAGGCUUGGAAGUGUGGACGCCAGUCUGCAUGGAGCCGACCUUGAAAUACCACCCUUUAAUGUUUGAUGUUCUAACGUUGACCCGUAAUCCGGGUUGCGGACAGUGUCUGGUGGGUAGUUUGACUGGGGCGGUCUCCUCCUAAAGAGUAACGGAGGAGCACGAAGGUUGGCUAAUCCUGGUCGGACAUCAGGAGGUUAGUGCAAUGGCAUAAGCCAGCUUGACUGCGAGCGUGACGGCGCGAGCAGGUGCGAAAGCAGGUCAUAGUGAUCCGGUGGUUCUGAAUGGAAGGGCCAUCGCUCAACGGAUAAAAGGUACUCCGGGGAUAACAGGCUGAUACCGCCCAAGAGUUCAUAUCGACGGCGGUGUUUGGCACCUCGAUGUCGGCUCAUCACAUCCUGGGGCUGAAGUAGGUCCCAAGGGUAUGGCUGUUCGCCAUUUAAAGUGGUACGCGAGCUGGGUUUAGAACGUCGUGAGACAGUUCGGUCCCUAUCUGCCGUGGGCGCUGGAGAACUGAGGGGGGCUGCUCCUAGUACGAGAGGACCGGAGUGGACGCAUCACUGGUGUUCGGGUUGUCAUGCCAAUGGCACUGCCCGGUAGCUAAAUGCGGAAGAGAUAAGUGCUGAAAGCAUCUAAGCACGAAACUUGCCCCGAGAUGAGUUCUCCCUGACCCUUUAAGGGUCCUGAAGGAACGUUGAAGACGACGACGUUGAUAGGCCGGGUGUGUAAGCGCAGCGAUGCGUUGAGCUAACCGGUACUAAUGAACCGUGAGGCUUAACCUUACAACGCCGAAGGUGUUU
rnacentral:rRNA from 2 species